AUGCACAAGCCUCAGCAUUCCUGCUGCUCAGUCAUGACUUUGACCUCUGUCCUAGUGACUUUGAUGCUCUUCUCAAUGAGAGGAACAAGAGCACAAACAGUGACCCAGCCUGAAGACCGGGUCACCAUAUCUGAAGGGGACCCCCUGGAGUUACAAUGCACCACCUCAUAUACUGGGAGCCCUCAGUUCUACUGGUAUGUUCAGUAUCCCAGGCAAAGCCUCCAGAUGCUUCUGAAAUAUCUCUCAGGAAACACCCUGGUUAGAAGUAGCGGAGGUUUUGAAGCAGAAUUUAACAAGAACAGUAAAUCCUUCAACCUGAGGAAACCAUUUGUCGAAGUGAGCGAUGUGGCUGUGUACUUCUGUGCUGUGAGUGACACAGUGACUUGA